UAAGCUCUGCUCAGAAGUCAAGAGCAGCAGUGCUGCCGCCUCCGUGCGGCCUUUCAAGACGCGGUCGCUCCUUAUUCUUGUGCCUCGGCCUCUCUGGUCGCCCCCGGACAAAGCCCCCAGAGCCCGGCCGCUCCCUUCCCUCUAAAUCCCCUUCGGGUCAAUGCGCUACCAGCACCAGGCCGCGCGCUUCUCCUGCCAGCCGUGUGGCUCUUAAAG
rfam:Pteropus alecto contig31840, whole genome shotgun sequence.